rnacentral:rRNA from 1 species
GGUUCAGGACGAACGCUGGCGGCGUGCCUAACACAUGCAAGUCGAGCGGGGACAUACGACGGAAAGGAAGUUUCGGACGGAAUUGAAGAUGUAUGUUCUAGCGGCGGACGGGUGAGUAACGCGUGAGCAACCUGUCCUUCACAGGGGGAUAACACAGCGAAAGUUGUACUAAUACCGCAUAAGACCACGGGACCGCAUGGUUUUGAGGUCAAAGGAGCAAUCCGGUGAAGGGUGGGCUCGCGUCCGAUUAGAUAGUUGGUGAGGUAACGGCCCACCAAGUCGACGAUCGGUAGCCGACCUGAGAGGGUGAUCGGCCACAUUGGGACUGAGACACGGCCCAAACUCCUACGGGAGGCAGCAGUGGGAAUAUUGGGCAAUGGGGGGAACCCUGACCCAGCAACGCCGCGUGAGGGAAGAAGGUUUUCGGAUCGUAAACCUCUGUCCUUGGUGAAGAGGAAGAGACGGUAGCCAAGGAGGAAGCCCCGGCUAACUACGUGCCAGCAGCCGC